rnacentral:rRNA from 1 species
UACGGGGGGAGCAAGCGUUGUUCGGAUUUACUGGGCGUAAAGGGCGCGUAGGCGGCCAGCACAAGUCAGUUGUGAAAUCUCCGAGCUUAACUCGGAACGGUCAACUGAUACUGUGCGGCUAGAGUGCGGAAGGGGCAACUGGAAUUCUUGGUGUAGCGGUGAAAUGCGUAGAUAUCGUAAGGAAGACCAGUGGCGAAGGCGAAUCUCUGGACAGUUACUGACACUGAGGCACGAAGGCCAGGGGAGCGAACGGG